rnacentral:rRNA from 1 species
AUUGAACGCUGGCGGCAUGCCUUACACAUGCAAGUCGAACGGUAACGGGCCUUCGGGUGCCGACGAGUGGCGCACGGGUGAGUAAUACAUCGGAACGUGCCCGAUCGUGGGGGAUAACGAGGCGAAAGCUUUGCUAAUACCGCAUACGAUCUACGGAUGAAAGCAGGGGACCGCAAGGCCUUGCGCGGACGGAGCGGCCGAUGGCAGAUUAGGUAGUUGGUGGGAUAAAAGCUUACCAAGCCGACGAUCUGUAGCUGGUCUGAGAGGAUGAUCAGCCACACUGGGACUGAGACACGGCCCAGACUCCUACGGGAGGCAGCAGUGGGGAAUUUUGGACAAUGGGCGCAAGCCUGAUCCAGCCAUGCCGCGUGCAGGAUGAAGGCCUUCGGGUUGUAAACUGCCUUUGUACGGAACGAAAAGCCUUCUUUUAAUACAGGAGGGUCAUGACGGUACCGUAAGAAUAAGCACCGGCUAACUACGUG